CAGUAGCCACGGGAAUGCGUAGGUGGCAAGCGUUGUCCGGAAUUAUUGGGCGUAAAGCGCGCGCAGGUGGUUUAAUAAGUCUGAUGUGAAAGCCCACGGCUCAACCGUGGAGGGUCAUCGGAAACUGUUAAACUUGAGUGCAGGAGAGAAAAGUGGAAUUCCUAGUGUAGCGGUGAAAUGCGUAGAGAUUAGGAGGAACACCAGUGGCGAAGGCGGCUUUUUGGCCUGUAACUGACACUGAGGCGCGAAAGCGUGGGGAGCAAACAGGAUUAGAUACCCCGGUAGUCCCUGUCUCUUAUAC
rnacentral:rRNA from 1 species